rnacentral:rRNA from 1 species
UACGGGAGGCAGCAGGGGGAAUAUUGCACAAUGGGCGCAAGCCUGAUGCAGCCAUGCCGCGUGUAUGAAGAAGGCCUUCGGGUUGUAAAGUACUUUCAGUCGUGAGGAAGGUGUUAAGGUUAAUAACCUUAGCAAUUGACGUUAGCGACAGAAGAAGCACCGGCUAACUCCGUGCCAGCAGCCGCGGUAAUACGGAGGGUGCGAGCGUUAAUCGGAAUUACUGGGCGUAAAGGGCACGCAGGCGGUUAAUUAAGUUGGAUGUGAAAUCCCCGGGCUUAACCUGGGAAUGGCAUUCAAGCUGGUUAGCUAGAGUCUUGUAGAGGGGGUAGAAUUCCAUGUGUAGCGGUGAAUGCGUAGAGAUGUGGAGGAAUACCGGUGGCGAAGGCGGCCCCUGGACAAAGACUGACGCUCAUGUGCGAAAGCGUGGGGAGCAAAC